GAUGAACGCUGGCGGCGUGCCUAAUACAUGCAAGUCGAGCGGCAGCGCGAGUAGUUUACUACUUGGCGGCGAGCGGCGGACGGCUGAGUAACACGUAGGAACAUACCCCAAAGUGAGGGAUAAGCACCAGAAAUGGUGUCUAAUACCGCAUGUUCUCUAAGGAGUAAAGCUUCGGCGCUUUGGGAUUGGCCUGCGUCCGAUUAGCUAGUUGGUGAGGUAAUUGCUCACCAAGGCGACGAUCGGUAGCUGGUCUGAGAGGAUGAUCAGCCAGACUGGGACUGAGACACGGCCCAGACUCCUACGGGAGGCAGCAGUAGGGAAUUUUCCACAAUGGGCGAAAGCCUGAUGGAGCAACGCCGCGUGCAGGAUGAAUGUCUUCGGAUUGUAAACUGCUUUUAUAUGUGACGAUUAUGACGGUAGCAUAUGAAUAAGGAUCGGCUAACUCCGUGCCAGCCGCCGCGGUAAUAC
rnacentral:rRNA from 1 species